AUAUGUUGCUUUUGAAAAGAGAGAGAGAGGAAGAUUAACAGUUGGACUGUCACUUUAAGGCAUUGAAAGUAACUUUGGAUUUUUACUGAGUUUGGAGUUGGAGACAGCACCGAGCAGCUCGUAAGUUGCUAUGGUGACCAAAGGCUGGUUGUUGAUAUUACUUUCAAGGACUUGUUGUCUGCUUGUGCACUUCUUUGCAGACAAAGCAAGGAGGGACUCUUUGAAUGACAGAUGAUGCUCAGCACAGAGAAAUAAAUGGGAGGUCAGAUGAUACAGACCUCAGACACAUGAUCUGGACACAGAAUGAGCAUUGUUGUGCCCGCAGAGAAAGUGGGUUUUGGAGGAUCGAUCAGGCGGAUCGAUCCAACUUGCUUAUUCCACCAGUGAAGAAGGGGUUGACUGGUGGGGAGUUGUCUAUGUGUCCACCCUUGCAGGGGUGAUAGCUUCACCACAGGAAAACUGGACCCCUGGUUAAAGUCACAGUCGGUGACUUGUAAAGGAUUUCGGAGGACGACAUGAAGAUGACGACAUCAGUUCACCUGAAGACUCAACUCACUCUCUCUCUCCAUCACUACUCAACUAAGUACCAUGAACUGAACUGAACAGAAUUUUACUCAACAUCGCAUCCAGAGCUGGUUCAGGAAAUCAGGAUGCCUGCUGCCUUCCACUCUUCACUAAUGUCUUGCUCCAUCCAUCACAAGCCAUGGAGUGAAUCUCUCCAGUGAUGACAGGCAGUGGCCUUUCCAUUAAAAGGUGAAAGAAUGCCAUCAGCUAGCUAACCUCAGCUGGUGCUAACCACUCAUGAAACUGCAGUCUGUUCGAAUGCAGGGUGAAAUUAUGAUGAUUGGGGAUUUGCUUGAAAUAUAUGACCAUGCCACAUCAGGCCAAGUUGGCAGAUAUUAAUAGCACACUUCUAUUCCUGCAGCUGUUUUCCUAUCCCAGCCACUCUUAUAGUAAAUACAUUAUGAAGUUCCCAUUGUUUGCUAAUGAUUGACCACUCAAACCAGGUUGUCAUUCAUUAUUUCCAAUGCAAAUUUAACAAGUUUAAGAUUCAUUCCUUGCUCUUUCUGAAUUGUAAUCUUCAAAACCGUGAGACACCUGAAAUGGGUUAUUUAAAAUUUAAAUAUCCAUUAGCUGUUUGAAGGUUUUUGAUUUAAUAACACAUUAACAGGUGUUUGAUUUAGUAAUCCAUUAACAGGUUGAAGAUGAAUAUUUAAAAUUUAAUAGGAACAGCAAUCUGUAUUCAGCUGUUUAGCAUGAGAUAAUAUUAGCAGUUGUUCAGCAAAGAUUUGGAGGGAAAGAGGGAAAGAGAAAGGUGGAUGGAGAGGGUGAAGGAACAGAAGUGAGGGAGAGAGAGAGAGGGGGAAUGUGUUUGUCAUAACAAUGUGAAAUGAAAAACUUUAAUUAAAUAACUAAAAAUACUCCAUCAUGAAAUUAAUUUAGUUUCAAAGUGCUGUAAAUCUAACUACUAAAACUUAGAUUUGGAUAAUCCAAUAAUUCUUCAAAGGAAAAGCAUCUGUGGCAACAGAGACCAUCAAUGUUUUGAGUGAUUAAACCUUCAGCAGAACUAGAAAAUAUUACACAUAUAACAGGUUCAAAUAAGUAGAGAUCCAGGGGAAAUGGAAAAGAAGGGACAAAGGAGACAUGUGAAAGCACAAAUGCUGGAAGAACUCAGCAGAUGAGGAAGCACUUAUGCAGAAGAAUAAAGAGCCAACUUUUCAUAGCUAAUACUAUUCACAGCCUUCAUGGUCUCAACCGAAAGCAUUGGUGACUGCAGCAAGUCAGAUUGCUGGAGGAACUCAGCAAGUCAGGCAUCAACUAUGAAUAGCAAUAAAGAGCUGACAUUUCAUGGCUAAUACUACUCGAGCUCUUCAUGGUCAUGGCCCAAAGCAUUACCUUGUCAUUCCCCUCUCGAUGCUGCCUGACCAGCUAGGUUCCUCCAGCAAUUGUGUAUGUUACUCUGGAUUUCCAGCAUCUGCAGAAUCUGUUGUGCUCAUGUGAAUGCAGAAGUGAAAGAAGAUGACAAGUGGAAUGCUGGAGUAAGACAAAGGGACAAGAAUGGAAAAUGGGUGAGUAAGCAACAACAGUGGGGUCAUUACAAGCAUGUACCCUCCUGAUACAGGGAGUUAUCAAUAUGAACUGAAAUUGUUAGACAAUGUAUUAGUCUGAAAGGCAAUAAAAUACAUUACGAAAGGGUGGGGGUAUGGAAAUCCUAUCAUGUAACAUAAAGUUUAUAGGUAUUGUUUGAUAGAAAACAAAGUAAUUUGGUGCUUGGUUAUCAAUGAUGAAGGAUAUAAAAUUGCUUCAGGAUUCUUUGUGUAUAGGUCCUAUUUUCUCAAAAAGUCUUUGGAACAUACACUAUAUUUUCAAAUAGCAUCAGUGUCCAUUUUGACAUUACUUUCACGAAAUUCAGUCACAUCUGUAUGAAGUAUGAAUAGUAUUAGCCAUGCAUGCAGAAGUAGAUCUUUGUAGUAAGGGUAAUAUUUUAUUAGGUGAAUAUUAACUGACUAAAUUUAUGUGCAUGGAGUCUGCAUCACCAUUGUACAAAAACCUAUGAAAGUUUUGCAGCAUAUCAGCCCUCCAAAACAUUGCCUGCAUUGCCCACAUCAGGUGGAGUGAUCUUUAGAACUCAGUAUCAGCUGAUUUCUCUGUCAACAUCUGUAAUUCCAUCACUGGACCUCUGCUAGUCCACUUUCUACUCUCUGUCAGCUAGUAGGAAUGACUACGGCUCAUGGAUGGAUAGCACAGUAUUAUCAAAAGCUAGUUCCGCCAAGAGGCAUGUUUUGUUGUUUAGCAAAACUGUCUGCAGGCUUCUCCACUAAAAGUCAGCAAUCUGAUGGAUGCCAUGCUGGUGGAAAGACUACACAAAAGCAGUACAAGAAGCAAAGAAAUGUCGAGGACAAUCACUAAGAAUGUGCAAAUUCAUUAAGUUUUGCAUGUUUUUAUUUUGCUUACUAAUUGAAUAUGGUUUACAAAUUUUCAGAUACUCUACAAAUAUGGUGCUUUCUUCAUCCAUGGUCCAAGCAGAUGCCAAGGUGGUCAGCAAUAAAGAGAAAGCAGGGUAGAAGCUUCAUUAGAAUGAAGAUUUGUUCACUUGAAUCUUAUUCACUUUUGUGAGGUGGGUAUUCUUGAGUGGACUAUUGAUACACAGAGUUACAGGUCUAUUUUAGCUGAAAGAUACAGCUUUUCUCUGGUGCAGCAAUAUUGUAAAUGGUACAGAGGAAUCUCAGGGCCAUUAAGUUAGUAAGAAAUACAACAACAGGUUUUGAGUUUCAAAGCAUAUGCUCUUUAAUCAGCUCUUUAUAGAAGCUGUCAAUCAUAAAAAUGUCAGAAGGAAAUGAUCAAAAAAUUGUUUUUAACUACAGUUAUAAUUAUACAUUGUGGUAAUAGAACUCUCAGGCAGUGUGGAAAAAGAUGAUUUUUUCAUGAUACCUUGACAAGUUGACACAUAGAAUAACUGUCAAUUUAGAAAACUGAUGGAUGAUUAUAACAUGUCUAUUUCAUCAACUGACACCCAAGGAAAGGAUUUCUGCAAAUAAAAUUAAGUUUUGAUGUUUUAAGUAAUCUGAGAUCCUUUAGCAAACCUAUGGUAGGUAAAAUGUGGUAGGGUGUAGAGAAGGUGGCUGACCUGAACCUAGAUUGUUCCUGUCAAUUAGGUUGGGUUAAAUCUAGGCUUAAGGUGAGUCUGCAUUUUCAGACAUAAGCCUGAUUAGGAGGUAGGUGAACAUGAAUCAGAAUUGACUGUCUGAGCACUUUGAAAACACAUAUCGCUGAGAGAUGAGCAAUUAGAAAAUUGCCUGUUAUAGAAACAUAGAAACAUAGAAAAUAGGUGCAGGAGUAGGCCAUUCGGCCCUUCGAGCCUGCACCGCCAUUUAUUAUGAUCAUGGCUGAUCAUCCAACUCAGAACCCAGCCUUCCCUCCAUACCCCCUGACCCCUGUAGCCACAAGGGCCAUAUCUAACUUCCUUUUAAACAUAGCUAAUGAACUGGCCUCAACAGUUUGCUGUGGCAGAGAAUUCCACAGAUUCACCACUCUCUGUGUGAAGAAGUUUUUCCUAACCUCGGUCCUAAAAGGCUUCCCCUCUAUCCUCAAACUGUGACCCCUCGUUCUAGACCUCCCCAACAUCGGGAACAAUCUUCCUGCAUCUAGCCUGUCCAAUCCCUUUAGGAUCUUAUACGUUUCAAUCAGAUCCCCCCUCAAUCUUCUAAAUUCCAAUCUUCUAAAUUAUUGGCCUUAUAAUGCAGAAAUAUGCUCAAGAAGUUCAAGAAGUUUGCCACAUUAAUACAAUUGCCUUGAGUUGAGACACAAAGGCUGAAAUUUUAGGGGCAGUGGGCUCGUGAGGGAUGAGUUUUGAAUAAUUUGUAUGACAAGGCUAUGGAUAAGCGAUGUAGUUUCACAGCUUUUAAUGCAGGUACAUAUGGUAUCUACAAAAACCUUCAGGGUUCCUUUAAACUUAUCUGCAGAACCCCUAACUGUAGGGUUCGUAAAGCAGCACCGUGGACUGAUUUUGACUUGCUUUCUCCAAGGAAUGGUAGGGACCUUGCUUUUCUAGUGCUCAAUCAGGCAUUGUGGCAGUGGAAAUGGACACCGAGCACCAGGCUCAGAGUAAUCCAAAAGUAUAAAAAUCCUUCAAUUUGCAGAAACAUGGGCCAAUGGAGCAUUGGAGAAGAAUUAAUCAAUGUUUUCUAAGGACUGUGUGGCAAGGCAAAGUGCAAACUCCAUCUACAAGUUUGCUGAUGACACAGCUGUUGUGUACAGAAUCACAGAUGGUGAUGAGAAGGCAUACAGGAGUGUGAUGGAUUGACUGGUUGAAUGGUGUCACAACAACAACCUUGCACUCACCAUCAGAAAGGCAAUUACUUGAUUGCGGACUUCAGAAGGGAAAAGCUGGGAGAACACAAACCAUUUCUCAUUGAGGGAUACACAGUACAAAUGAUGAACUCAAGUUCCUGGAUGUCAACACCUCUGCAGAUCUAUCCUAGGCCCAGCAUAUUGAUGCAAUUACGAAGAAGGCAUGCUAGUGGCUACAUUUCAUUAGGAGUUUUAGGAAAUUUGGUAUAUUAAAGACUCUAUAGGUGUACCGUGAGAAGCAUUCUAACUACCUGCAUUACCAUUUGCUAUUUAGGCACCAAUGUACAGGGUCUGAAAAAGCUGCAGAGGAAUAUAGACUCAGCCAGCUCCAUUAUGGUAUCAUCAUUAACAUUAUGUACCGUGUCGUAUGACGUGGACAAUCAUGGUCUAUCCAUGGCUAUGAUUGUUCUUGGCAAAUCUUUCUACAGAGUGUGGUACUAACCUUCUCAAUAUUGAGGAAAUCUUCAAUAGGCAAUGCCUCAAGAAGGUGGCAUCCACCACCAAGGACCCCUGCCAUCCAGGGCAUGGCAUCUUUUCAUUGUCACCAUCAUGGGGGAUGUUCACCAACUGGAAGAGACAUAGUCAAUGUUUUAGGAACAGGUUCUUCCCCUCUGCCAUCAGAUUUCUGAAUAAACCAUGAAACCAUGAACACUUCCUUCCUUUUGCACUACUUUUUUUGUAUUUCUUAUUGUAACCAAUAUUACUUUUACUUUUUCUGUAACGCACUGUACUACUGCCACAGAACAAAA